AUGGACAAAGAGCAUGGCUGUGGUUUAGAGAGAGGGGGCCAACAGGGCCUGUGGGGGUCUUGUGGCGGUGGAGGACUCCGAGGUCCAACACGAGCAGGACUUCUGCUGACAUGGACUGCUGGGUCAGAGCCAGAGACAGGGAGACAGUGCAGGAGACAGGGUGACAGAGCCAGAGAGACAGGGUCAGAGAGACAGGGACAGGGCCAAAGACAGAGGGACAGGGCCAAAGACAGAGGGACAGGGCCAAAGACAGAGGGACAGGGCCAAAGACAGAGGGACAGGGCCACAAGACAGAGGGACAGGGCCAGAGGGACAGGGCCAAAGACAGAGGGACAGGGCCAGAUACAGAGGGACAGGGACAGAUACAGAGGGACAGGGCCAAAUACAGAGGGACAGGGCCAAAGACAGAGGGACAGGGCCAAAGACAGAGGGGCAGGGCCAAAGACAGAGGGGCAGGGCCAAAGACAGAGGGGCAGGGCCACAAGACAGAGGGACAGGGCCAGAGGGACAGGGCCAGAUACAGAGGGACAGGGCCAGAGACAGAGAGACAGGGCCAGAGACAGAGGGACAGGGCCAAAGACAGAGGGACAGGGCCAGAGACAGAGGGACAGGGCCAGAGACAGAGGGACAGGGCCAGAGACAGAGGGACAGGGCCAAAGACAGAGGGACAGGGCCAGAGACAGAGGGACAGGGCAAGAUACAGAGGGACAGGGCCAGAUACAGAGGGACAGGGCCAAAGACAGAGGGACAGGGCCAAAGACAGAGGAACAGGGACAGAGGGACAGGGCCAAAGACAGAGGGGCAGGGCCAAAGACAGAGGGGCAGGGCCAGAGGGACAGGGCCAGAGACAGAGGGACAGGGCCAGAGACAGAGGGACAGGGCCAGAGACAGAGGGACAGGGCCAGAGACAGAGGGACAGGGCCAAAGACAGAGGGACAGGGCCAGAGACAGAGGGACAGGGCCAGAGACAGAGGGACAGGGCCAGAGACAGAGGGACAGGGACAGGGCCAGAGACAGAGGGACAGGGCCAGAGACAGAGGGACAGGGCCAGAUACAGAGGGACAGGGCCAGAGACAGAGGAACAGGGCCAGAAGACUUCUGAACAAUUAA
rnacentral:lncRNA from 1 species